UUGAUGUGUAGGAUAGGUGGGAGGCUUUGAAGUGUGGACGCCAGUCUGCAUGGAGCCGACCUUGAAAUACCACCCUUUAAUGUUUGAUGUUCUAACGUUGACCCGUAAUCCGGGUUGCGGACAGUGUCUGGUGGGUAGUUUGACUGGGGCGGUCUCCUCCUAAAGAGUAACGGAGGAGCACGAAGGUUGGCUAAUCCUGGUCGGACAUCAGGAGGUUAGUGCAAUGGCAUAAGCCAGCUUGACUGCGAGCGUGACGGCGCGAGCAGGUGCGAAAGCAGGUCAUAGUGAUCCGGUGGUUCUGAAUGGAAGGGCCAUCGCUCAACGGAUAAAAGGUACUCCGGGGAUAACAGGCUGAUACCGCCCAAGAGUUCAUAUCGACGGCGGUGUUUGGCACCUCGAUGUCGGCUCAUCACAUCCUGGGGCUGAAGUAGGUCCCAAGGGUAUGGCUGUUCGCCAUUUAAAGUGGUACGCGAGCUGGGUUUAGAACGUCGUGAGACAGUUCGGUCCCUAUCUGCCGUGGGCGCUGGAGAACUGAGGGGGGCUGCUCCUAGUACGAGAGGACCGGAGUGGACGCAUCACUGGUGUUCGGGUUGUCAUGCCAAUGGCACUGCCCGGUAGCUAAAUGCGGAAGAGAUAAGUGCUGAAAGCAUCUAAGCACGAAACUUGCCCCGAGAUGAGUUCUCCCUGACUCCUUGAGAGUCCUGAAGGAACGUUGAAGACGACGACGUUGAUAGGCCGGGUGUGUAAGCGCAGCGAUGCGUUGAGCUAACCGGUACUAAUGAACCGUGAGG
rnacentral:rRNA from 1 species